rnacentral:rRNA from 1 species
UACGGAGGUGGCAAGCGUUGCUCGGAAUCACUGGGCGUAAAGGGCGCGUAGGCGGGGAGGUAAGUCGGGUGUGAAAUCCCUCGGCCCAACCGAGGAACUGCGCCCGAGACUGCUUCUCUUGAGUCCCGGAGAGGAAGAUGGAAUUCCCGGUGUAGCGGUGAAAUGUGUAGAGAUCGGGAGGAACACCGGUGGCGAAGGCGGGUCUCUGGGCCGUAACUGACGCUGAGGAGCGAAAGCGUGGGGAGCGAACAGG